AGAUAAUAGAUACCCUGGUAGUCCACGCUGUAAACGAUGGGUGCUAGGUGUCACGGGCUUUGACCCCUGUGGUGCCGUAGCUAACGCAUUAAGCACCCCGCCUGGGAAGUACGGCCGCAAGGCUAAAACUCAAAGGAAUUGACGGGGGCCCGCACAAGCGGUGGAGCAUGUGGUUUAAUUCGACGCAACGCGAAGAACCUUACCUGGGCUAGAAAACGUAGGAACCCUGUUGAAAGAUGGGGGUGCUCUUCGGAGAACCUAUGGUUAGGUGCUGCAUGGCUGUCGUCAGCUCGUGUCGUGAAGAUGUUAGGUAACGUCCCGCAACGAGCGCAACCCUAUCGUUAGUUGCCAUCA
rnacentral:rRNA from 1 species